UGCCAGCAGCCGCGGUAAUACGUAGGGGGCGAGCGUUAUCCGGAAUCAUUGGGCGUAAAGGGUGUGUAGGCGGUCAGGUAAGCGAGAGGUCAAAGGCUAUGGCUCAACCAUAGUAAGCCUUUCGAACUGCCUGACUUGAGUACAGGAGAGGAGAGCGGAAUUCCUAGUGUAGCGGUGAAAUGCGUAGAUAUUAGGAGGAACACCAGUGGCGAAGGCGGCUCUCUGGACUGUAACUGACGCUGAGGCACGAAAGCGUGGGGAGCAAACAGGAUUAGAUA
rnacentral:rRNA from 1 species